rnacentral:sRNA from 1 species
GCCGGGCGCGGUGGCCCACGCCUGUGAUCCCAGCAGCUCGGAGGCUGAGGCAGGAGGAUCGCGAGUUCAAAGCCAGCCUCAGCCAAAGUGAGGUGCUAAGCUACUCAGGGAGACCCUGUCUCUA